CGUUCUCCCUUUUAUGUCUUUCGUUUUCCUUCGAUCGGUUGUCAAGAUAUGCGAAGCCCGUUACAGGUCGUGUGAGCAGAACUGAAGCAGAGCACGAACGAGGCGAAGCAGAUGAGACUGACCAGACAUUGGUGGAAUGAUCUGGGAUUUAGGGUGUUGCUUUGCAUCACCUGAGAGAGGUCGAUCCAAUCCAAGUUGGAUGCAUUUUGGUUGAAAACCAGAUUUUGUAUAUCCCCUUUUUAAUCCUAAUUGAUGGUAUUGGUUCGGUCACUUUUCAUCGAAGCUGAUAGAGAAUUGGGGCUUUGAUGUCGAGGGGAUAUUGCAGUAAGUGAUUUUGAUUAGAGUCUAUUUUUGCAAGGAUUUCUUUGAACCGUAGAAUUUGAUGUUGUUUCAUCUUGAUAAUUGCAUUGCUCUGUUUUACACAAUUCCCUAAUAUAUUAUGAUUUUUUCAAUAUUUUACUUAGGUGUGUUCUUCCCUAUUUGAACUUUUUCUGUUAUAGAUAUCAAUUCUUCAUGGAAAUGAGAGAUAGCAAUGCUAUUCCUUUCAUUAAAAAAUAAAACAUCACGAACUACUUUUUAUUUUAAUGCUACUUAUAUUCAAGCUGUGAAUGAAUGUUACAGGUGUGUAAUUGAAGCUGGACAUGUUAAAUCAGGUGAGUUGUUCUUACCACAUCUCUCUAGCAACCUUUCUGGUCAUGCCCCUUUGUUACCCCCAUAAAAUUAAUAAAAUAGAUUUUAAAUUUAAUUUCAAAUACUCUUUUGCUAAAUGGUGGAUUAGUUUAUAUUUGCCUUCUUUUUGUAGCUCUUUCUGUAAGAGAUAAGCUUGAAUCACUGUGUACAACUAGGAGAUUGGCUAGGAUGAAAUUAAAAAGGGAUUUGUUGAAUAUCGAGCUAAGCUACAGGUUGAGUUUCAAAAGAAAGUUUCAGGUAUAAGACUAUUAUUCAAUUUGAUAAAUGCAGCUGCUAAACUAUCCUUUUAUCUGAUUCUCACAUGAUGCAUUCUCUCAUUUCUCUUCAUGCUUUACCAAGAAUACAAAGUAACAAAGAUUUUGGAUCUUAUAAUGUCAAGCAGCUUGAGCAAGAGAUUGAAGGAAAAAUCCAGUGCUUGAAAACAGAGGCUCCAAUAAUAUCGAAUGAUGUGUUAGAGGACAAAUGUGUUGUCCUUGAAAGCAAGUAUCCUUGAAUAUAUAGGUCCAUCAUUCUUGGUUAAGAAAAUAAAUCAAUUUUGUUCUUGAGAUUGUCAAUGGAACAAGAAAGAAGCUUAAUGGAAGAAGAGAGUAGCUGCCCUUGAAAGAAAGGUGGUGAUUGUCGCAAGAAAGAAGCUGAAUGAAAGAAGAGAUAAUCUGCAUUGCAUCUUGAAGUUAAGA